rnacentral:rRNA from 1 species
ACAACAGUUAGAAAUGACUGCUAAUACCGCAUAAGCGCACAGGACCGCAUGGUCUGGUGUGAAAAACUCCGGUGGUGUGAGAUGGACCCGCGUUUGAUUAGCUGGUUGGUGGGGUAACGGCCUACCAAGGCGACGAUCAAUAGCCGACCUGAGAGGGUGAUCGGCCACAUUGGGACUGAGACACGGCCCAAACUCCUACGGGAGGCAGCAGUGGGGAAUAUUGCACAAUGGGGGAAACCCUGAUGCAGCGACGCCGCGUGAGUGAAGAAGUAUUUCGGUAUGUAAAGCUCUAUCAGCAGGGAAGAAAAUGACGGUACCUGACUAAGAAGCCCCGGCUAACUACGUGCCAGCAGCCGCGGUAAUACGUAGGGGGUAAGCGUUAUCCGGAUUUACUGGGUGUAAAGGGAGCGUAGACGGUAAAGCAAGUCUGAAGUGAAAGCCCGGGGCUCAACCCCGGGACUGCUUUGGAAACUGUUUAACUAGAGUGCUGGAGAGGUAAGCGGAAUUCCUAGUGUAGCGGUGAAAUGCGUAGAUAUUAGGAGGAACACCAGUGGCGAAGGCGGCUUACUGGACAGUAACUGACGUUGAGGCUCGAAAGCGUGGGGAGCAAACAGGAUUAGAUACCCUGGUAGUCCACGCCGU